rnacentral:rRNA from 1 species
GACGAACGCUGGCGGCGUGCCUAAUACAUGCAAGUCGAACGAGUGGCGGACGGGUGAGUAACACGUGGGAACCUACCCAUCAGAGGGGGAUAACUACGGGAAACUGUAGCUAAUACCGCGUACCAUAGGAUGAGCCCAAGUGGGAUUAGGUAGUUGGUGAGGUAAAGGCUCACCAAGCCGACGAUCUCUAGCUGGUCUGAGAGGAUGACCAGCCACACUGGGACUGAGACACGGCCCAGACUCCUACGGGAGGCAGCUGUGGGGAAUAUUGCGCAAUGGGGGCAACCUGACGCAGCCAUGUCGCGUGAAUGAAGAAGGCCUUCGGGUUGUAAAGUUCUUUCGGUAGCGAGGCGUUAACUACAGAAGAAGCACCGGCUAACUCCGUGCCAGCAGCCGCGGUAAUAC